CGAACGAAGCACCUGAGAAUGAUUCUUCGGAUGAAGUCUCUUGUGACUGAGUGGCGGACGGGUGAGUAACGCGUGGGUAACCUGCCUCACACAGGGGGAUAACAGUUGGAAACGACCGCUAAUACCGCAUAACCCGCUGGUGCCGCAUGGCACUGACGGAAAAGAUUUAUCGGUGUGAGAUGGACCCGCGUCUGAUUAGCCAGUUGGCAGGGUAACGGCCUACCAAAGCGACGAUCAGUAGCCGGCCUGAGAGGGUGAACGGCCACAUUGGGACUGAGACACGGCCCAGACUCCUGCGGGAGGCAGCAGUGGGGAAUAUUGCACAAUGGGGGAAACCCUGAUGCAGCGACGCCGCGUGAGUGAAGAAGUAUUUCGGUAUGUAAAGCUCUAUCAGCAGGGAAGAAAAUGACGGUACCUGAUUAAGAAGCCCCGGCUAACUACGUGCCAGCAGCCGCGGUAAUACGUAGGGGGCAAGCGUUAUCCGGAUUUACUGGGUGUAAAGGGAGCGUAGACGGUGAUGCAAGUCAGAAGUGAAAGCCCCGGGCUCAACUCCGGGACUGCUUUUGAAACUGUGUGACUGGAGUGCAGGAGAAGUAAGCGGAA
rnacentral:rRNA from 1 species